rnacentral:rRNA from 1 species
GUGCCAGCCGCCGCGGUAAUACGGAGGGGGUUAGCGUUGUUCGGAAUUACUGGGCGUAAAGCGCACGUAGGCGGAUCAGCAAGUUGGGGGUGAAAUCCCGGGGCUCAACCCCGGAACUGCCUUUGAUACUGGUAGUCUAGAGUUCGAGAGAGGUGAGUGGAACUCCGAGUGUAGAGGUGAAAUUCGUAGAUAUUCGGAAGAACACCAGUGGCGAAGGCGGCUCACUGGCUCGAUACUGACGCUGAGGUGCGAAAGUGCGGGGAGCAAACAGGAUUAGAUACCCCAGUAGUCC